rnacentral:rRNA from 1 species
UACGUAGGGGGCAAGCGUUGUCCGGAAUCACUGGGCGUAAAGCGCACGUAGGCGGACUCUUAAGUCAGGGGUGAAAUCCUGGAGCUCAACUCCAGAACUGCCCUUGAUACUGGGAGCCUUGAGUUCGGGAGAGGUGAGUGGAACUGCGAGUGUAGAGGUGAAAAUUCGUAGAUAUUCGCAAGAACACCAGUGGCGAAGGCGGCUCACUGGCCCGAUACUGACGCUGAGGCGCGAAAGCGUGGGGAGCAAACGGG